UGGCGUCUUUGAUCUCUCUCCACGAGGCGCAACUGCAGGUCAAUCGUACUUCCUCCUCGGUGAAGGUUUCUCUUCCACCCAUGCUUUUGUAUCCUCCUCCUGACCACCUCCCAACACUAAAUCACCGUGAAUCGAGGGGGUGAUUCAGCUCGAGAUUCACAAGAAGACGGGUCUAACAAAUUCUUGAGAUCCAUCGGGAAUUGGGUUUAGGGUUUUGUCCUCACAACAAUGUUGGUUUUUUCUUCUUUGAUCCACCGAUCGUGUUGGGCAUUAUGAGAUAUCAAUGAACUGAUUCAUCAUAAAGUCACCGUCAUUUAUUCUUGAUGUCUUGCUCGAUCUGGGAGUGCUGAAAACGUGCUCUUUGGGACCCGUGUCAGAGAGGAAGAUGCAACCCUCGAUCUCGGUGACGAGAAGGUUCCUCUUCUAUGUUCUGUUUGCGUCGCUGUUCUUCUUGUUGUUUACGUGUUCCGAUCUUUUGAGGCCCCGCAGUAGGCCCCUUGUACCUCAAACAGUGCUUAUGUUCGUUCUUCCUAAUAAGACUUCAGAUGACAGCUUUAGAGCUAGAGAUAGGACCAAGUUUCCCCAUUCCGAUCCAUUUCCCUUUUCUUCCUCAAUCGUCGUCAAUGAUAGACGAGGAAGAUCUGAGAAAGACAUUAGAGAAGCAAGCAGCAAAGGAUGCGACUUGGAUCGGUCUUUACUCAAGGUAUACAUGUAUGAUUUGCCUCCUGAGUUUCAUUUUGGAUCGUUGGGCUGGAACGGAAAAACCGAUCAGACAUGGCCGGAUAUCGCCGAAAUGGAUCGAAUUCCGACCUACCCUGGUGGAUUAAAUUUGCAGCAUAGUGUAGAAUACUGGCUCACCUUGGAUCUUCUUGCUUCAAAUGUUCCCAUUGUGGCGAGGCCUUGCACGGUGGUCCGUGUGACAAAUUCAAGCUCGGCUGAUGUGUUCUUCGUGCCCUUCUUCUCAUCUUUGAGUUACAACCGGCAUUCGAAGCCACAAGGGAAAGGUAAAGCUAGCAAAAACAGGAUUUUGCAGGAUGAGUUGGUGAGGUACUUAAUGGGCAGAGAGGAGUGGAAUAGAGGUGGUGGGAAGGAUCAUCUUAUUGUAGCUCACCAUCCCAACAGCAUGUUGCAGGCUCGAAGGAAGCUUGGUUCUGCUAUGUUUCUGCUUGCAGAUUUUGGGAGGUAUCCAUCGAAGAUAGCCAAUCUCAAGAAGGAUAUCAUUGCUCCUUACAGGCAUGUAGUUCGUUCAGUCGGCAAUGACUCUGCCACCUUCGAUGAGCGUCCGAUAUUAGCAUAUUUCCAGGGAGCCAUCAAUAGGAAGGAUGGCGGUAAAAUUCGUCAAAAGCUCUAUUACCUUCUCAAAGACGAGAAAGAUGUGCACUUUUCUUAUGGUAGCGUAAGGGAGAAUGGAAUAAGAAGUUCUGGUCAGGGAAUGGCUUCAUCGAAAUUCUGCCUGAAUAUCGCUGGAGACACCCCCUCCUCAAAUCGUCUCUUCGAUGCCAUUGUCAGCCAUUGUGUUCCCAUUGUGAUCAGUGAUGACAUUGAACUCCCGUUCGAAGAUAUCCUAGACUAUUCAGAUUUCUGCAUCUUUGUACGCACCUCGGAUGCUGUUAAGAAGGGUUUUCUUCUGGAUCUUCUCAGGGGAAUCAAAAGAACAGAAUGGACUAAGAUGUGGGAAAGGUUGAAGCAAAUAGCUCAUCACUUUGAGUAUCAGUAUCCAUCAAAGCAGGGGGAUUCUGUUCAGAUGAUCUGGGAAGAAGUUGCUCGCAAAAUCCCAUAUGUUCGUCUGAGCCUUAACAAGGAGAAGAGAUUACACAGAUCACAGUUUGUGAAGCAAAGCAAAUAGGAUAAUACUUUUGAGGACUCUUGUACAUCAGGUUGAAACCUUAGAAAGCUAUUUUCUGGGCACAGGGGAAAUCAAUAUCAUAGAAUUGUGCUUCACUUGUUCAAUAAAGAAUGUGCAAGCUUGUUAAUAGUGCAUAUAAUUUUCUGCUUUAGUUGCUUCAUGGAUGCAACAUCCUCCCAGCUAGUUUUGGACGACGAUAAGGAAGAGCGCUCACGAAGCUUCAGCACCGGUUGUGGAUGGGAUCUGAUCCCCUUCGAACUCUUCGUUUGCUCAUCUUGUUAGGAUCCACAGGCGGUGGCUCUGCUGCAGAUUUCUUGCUCGCAUCAAGGCUGACGACACCAGUAUGGGAAAACAACCAAACGCACACGAGAAGUACAAGGAGGAGGAGCCUACGAGUGCAGAUUCCCAUCGGUCCUCCAGUUAGCCACAGAGAUGUGAGAGGCCCUUCUGGUUCGGCCUUAAAAGGCCCCAUCCCUGUAGAUAUAGUCCUCUCAUUCAUCGGCAUAUGGGUUUUGGUCCAAAAGCACAAAGCUCAGUAACCCAAAAAACACCUAGAGAAUUCGGAUUCACUCCAAUCAUAUGGCUGCAACCCAAGCAAAUCCAAGGCUGUUUUAGAAGGUUCUGUCAUGUAUGAAUAAAGAGAUUGGCACGCCAUCCUUGGGAAGCGAAGUAUCUUUCCGGUGGUUCCCUUCCCUCCCCUCCAAAUCCCCCCUCACUAAGCAAGCACUAAAGGAGAUGUUCAGGGAGUACGGCAGCAGCAAAAGAAACACCUGCUUUAUCUCUCUUCUGUGAUCAUCAUCCUGUGCUUUAGGAUUUCCUCUUACAACAAGGAAGCACUCUUAUCCAUGCACCCAAUGAAAUAAAACAAGUACUUGGUUUCUCGUGCUGAAUGCGCUUCUUUAUGCUUUUCUGCGUUAUUCCUGCUGCUAUAUACCCUACUUUUCCUAUAUCUCAUCCAUUACUUCUCCCAUGACUCUUUAAUUUUCCUCUUUUCCUUUUUCCAUGGAGAACACAUUCCUCUUUCACUGUUUUUUUCAUAUUUAUAUUGCUUCUCAGUAUCACAUGCAGCUCGUAGGAUUCCUAAAGCACAGGUUCCCUCACUUCAACAAAAACUACGAGCAACUCAAGUAUCGCACAUCAGGUGUUUGUUGCUUUUUCUCUUUGAAAUAAAGCAAAAGAGCAACAGUGGAUGCUGCUGCUUUCCAAGGGCACAAGACUAGAACUCACAUGGAGGACUAUGCUCCCAUUGCAUGAAGAAAAACUCAACAAUAUUGUUUCAUGCAACAUAAAAAAUUUAUCUCCAUAUUCAAGUGCCUUUCAUACAUACAUCAUGCACAAUGUCAAUUUGAUUUUUGAUUCUAGAAGCAUGCUUGUUCACUUUGAAAUAAACUCUCUGAUGUUCUUUUUAUUUAUUUAUUUAUUUUUCUUGCUAAAAAGUGUUCAUCUAUUAUUACUUAAUACAUGGUACUUCGGAAACCUCACAAGUUUGUGAUCAUUGAACAGGGAGAAGAAGGAAAGAACACAGGAAAUAGAGCUGCAGGGAAAUCCAGGGAAUUAUCAUGAUUUGGUCUUCUCUCUGGAGACUAGUUUUCUAAAGUGGGCAAUUUCUUAAUGUCACCCAAGUGCUUUUAUAUACUUUUGAAGCAGGCUAUCAGAUAUUUGGGACCCAACUGAGUAAUUCUAUAUUAGAACUGGCAGAAAAGUAAGUGAAUCCUAGCUAAUGUGGACACUUGUUUUAAAGCACCCUAAAGAACAAGUGUGCAAAUGCUGACUGUUCCAUUAAUUUACCUAACAGCUAUUUUAUGUAGUAUUCAGUGGAUCUAAAGAUAUCAGGUCUUGGAGGAAUUUAGGUAGAAUUUGCACAUGGUCUUCAGCCAGUUUGCCUCAGAUGUCCUUCAAAUAGGAUCAAUUACAUCCAUUUCAUAUUUAGUGAAGUUGUAUGGCGUAAAAGUGAUCAACCAAAAUAACAGUCUGUUUCUCGUGAAGUGAUAUUUGAACUCAAUAGGCUCUCUCCUUCUGUGAUAAUUUUUAGCAUAGUUAAAGGCACUCAUAAUAUUAAUGUGCAUCAUCACAGGAACUGAGCCAUCUGUCAGAACUCCAAGAUAUUUUAGAAAUUAUCUUAGCUAUAUGAUUUCUCAAAUUCUCAUUACAAUAAAAACAUGUCUUCCUCUUAUUUUGCCAUCUGAUUGGUUCAAAUUAAAAUUAUAGUUGCCCUAUGUUGAAAGACCAUUGAUGUUGAAGUUUAAAGGCUCCAUGAACUAUAUAUUGUAGCCUCUCCUCUUCAUAUGCUUCUUGAAGAGCAUGAUAGAAGUGUGCAUUUUCUUUGAGGUGAGGCUCUCAUCACCAAGAUUCAUGGAUAAUUUAUGGUGGCAUUUUGGUGAACCCUUUUAAAUUAUGUCUAGUACACUCAUCUACCAUGAUCUUAAUCAUUUAAUUAGGUUCAAAUAGCUACAAAAUUGCUUCACGGAUCUCCGAACAAGCUUAUUAUAUUCUUGUAUGUGAUGUGAGUCCUGAUUGUACCAAUGUGAUAUUUCAGUUUUUAAGUGCAAAGUUAUGAUCAUCUCAGCUUCAUGGGGUUUCCACAUUGUCAAAGAAGUCGAAGAAUUGCCAUGCCAAGAAGACUGGAAGGAAUGCGAUGCCUAAGCAGUGACCCCCUCCGAAAGAUAUCUUUUGGGGUAUAUCACAUAGCAAAUAAUUUCUCACAGUUCAAAGAGUUUAUACUAGUAAACAUUUUUUUAUUAAUCUUGUCACAAAGUAUCAUUGCAAAUGUAAGAGGAUGAGAUGUUCAAUGGAGUUUGAGGUGUAGAUUGAAUUGUGUAUGUAUCAAGUCGAUCGUAUGAAUAUGUUAAUGACGCAAACGAAAUUUGUGUUUUUUCUUUUAACUUGUUUAGGUACUAAAAGUACAUGUUGAUAUGGUUUGAGUGUAAUGCUCGUUGAUGUUAGAUUUUGGGAUAAGUGGAAGCAUCAUCAUCUUCUUCGGAUCCUUCAA